CAAACCAACCCAUGUACUAUGGCAGACCUCAGUCUAGGCCCAUAGCCCAUGGGAUGGUGCUGCCAACAUUCAGACUUGUUAUUGUCUCCAGUUAAAUCUGAAAAUGCCCUCGCACAGAUGCCCAGAGGGUCACCUCUGCUCUGCCCUCUGGCCACCAAAGAAUGAUAAGAGUGAUUUUAAAGGAAACUCCCUGAGAGAACAACAGCUUGUUUACCUGAAAUGGAAAAUUCUUUGGAACAAGACUGGCCCCUGCCCAUAGAUUCUAAACUGAUGAGGUCAAUCUACCUUUGAACCUGAACAAGAUCACUAGGACCUAAAUAGAACUGGAGUCCUUAGCCCUGGAGCUCCAUGGAAUAUCUUCAACAUUCCCCGGAUC